GCCUGGGUGGCUCAGUUGGUUAAGCAUCUGAUUUCAGCUCAGGUCAUGAUCUUGCGAUUUGUGGGUUUGAGCCCCAUGUCAAGCU
rnacentral:tRNA from 1 species